GACAGAGGGUGCAAACGUUGUUCGGAAUUACUGGGCGUAAAGCGUGCGUAGGUGGUUCGUUAAGUCCGUUGUGAAAGCCCCGAGCUCAACUUGGGAAUUGCAGUGGAUACUGGCGAGCUGGAGUGCGGUAGAGGAAGGUGGAAUUCCCGGUGUAGCGGUGAAAUGCGUAGAGAUCGGGAGGAACACCAGUGGCGAAGGCGGCCUUCUGGACCAGCACUGACACUCAAGCACGAAAGCGUGGGGAGCAAACAGG
rnacentral:rRNA from 1 species